rnacentral:lncRNA from 1 species
AAAAAAAAAAAAAAAAUGUCUCGUAUCCAUUUAAAUUGGCCAGAAUUUAGUUAUAUGCUGAUUUGAACUUUUGCCUGGCCCUCGCAAUCCGCACAAGCAGUUCAUCUCUGGAUAGAUACUGUUUCCAGACUAGUAAAAUUAUCAGCACUCCGCAAAAUCGGAAACUCAAGUAGUUAAUAAUAUACACACGUGUCAUAUAUUUGUUAUACAUAUAAAUAUAUAUACCUCUAUACAAAUUGGCUGGACUAGUUCUCUUCAAUUGAGAAAAAAAAGAAAGAAGUAAUAAUAUAAUAUACAGGGGGGUCUCAACUCAACCAGGAAUUGAGUGAGAUCGAUUAGGAAACUUGAGGCGGAGGUUUACAUGGUAAGUUUGGCGUUGAGUGUUGGAAAAGAUAGCAUGACCACGAGCAAAGGCAAAGGAACCAGUGCCUCCAACCACAGUUAGUUCCUCAUUCUCUUUGUGAGCAACGUCGUUUGCCUGAACGCUGAGACUUCCAGAAUAAUGGGGAGUAUCAAACGUCAGGUAAAUAAUAUUGAAUGCCGAAUGGGCAAACUGUUCAAUCGGCACGAUGAAACCUUGAGCUUUUCCAACCGACCGAGAAGUUUUCUCGGGUCCCUCUGUAAGGGUAUGAUGGAAAACAAAUGCUCCAGCGCCGCUAAUCUGUGCCACCGAUGACUGCAUGUCUGAGCUUGCAAUUUGGGGUUGCUGAAUAUACAGGGACAGAGCCAUCGAAGGACUCUUUGAGGAGUGAUUUCUGCGCGCCGCGGGGGAAAUCAAAGCCAAGAGAACCACGGUUAAUGUGGCCAAAACAACUGCAACACAGAAUAUAAUCCUGGGGAGCAUAAUGCAGCUGUUCGAUAUCUUUUUCUGUCUGAUCGUAUUCUCAACAUUACGUACCUUUUAAUACGACAUUUCCGGUUGAAAGUAACCUGCUCCUCAACUGUCUUGUUUUGCUUUUGGCCAACCAAUUCACUUCUUUGAAAGCUGUACCUAACACACGUAUCAAAAUUUAACUGCAAAUUAAAGUUCAAUAAGUCGUAUUUUUAUAAUCAAUUCUAAAUUUAACGAUGAUUAAUUUAAAUUAAAUAAAAAAGUGAAUAAUUAAUUUAAAUUAAAUAAAAAAAGUGAAUUAUGGAGGAUGACUUCCCCACUCCUAUUUCAUAUUUUCUUCAUCGAUUUUUCUUUUACUAUCCUAAACUAUUAUAUGCUUAAAGUAAUACCUCACAGUAAAAGCUAGAGGGUAAUUUGCUUUAUUUGUAUCGAAGAAUCUUCAUCUUAUCUUUCAUAUUUUGCGGCCAUCGCCUCAAUCUACUGAUACUCAAGUGUUUGUUAAUCGAUGUUACUAGUUCAACUGAAGCUCAUUGUCAGCAGUGUCGGCAUGACGUUCUCUUCUUUUAUCACCGUACACCUAAACCACGCAUCUUUCAUUUCAGUCAUUGAAACUCGCUAGCUUUUGAGUUCGCAUUAUCCUUUACUUUCUCUUUUUGCGAGGAUUAGACCUUAAACACUAAUUAAGAUUUUUUUUUUUUUUUAGUAUUUAUUUUAAGAAAACUGGAGUCUCAUUAUCGUAAAAGUUAAUUACAAUUCUAUCCAAACUUGAUCCCGGGGUUUUUAAUGCAAGUUCCGCCAUGUGAUUUUGGUACAUAAUCCACUUCAAAAAGAUUCUUAAAAACUCCAAACUUGAUCCCCAGGGCUUUUAAUGCAAGUUCCGCCACGUGAUGUUGGCACAUAAUUCACUUCAAAAAGAUUCUUCAAAACAAAUGCUUGACACGAUCAGUAUUCCACCCCACUUCUGCUAACGCUGUUGUUAAUAAGAUGCACCGUAUCCAUGGCAUCGGGUUCAACAAUUGCAGGAAUUAAUCCUGUUCCAAUGGCCAGUCACAAGCCUUUUCAGAAUUGCAACAGAAAUGAAUCUUGCGAACGGAAGCAGCCGUUAUUUCACCUUUUUCAUUCUUCAUGAGAACGCCAAUACACAAGACAGCCGAGAUAAAAAUUUAACAUUAAAAGCGCGUGGAUACCACAAUCUAGAACCAGACCUCUCCUGAGUCAUUCUUGGCUCUUCCAUCAAGCCACAUCUGAAUAUCCAUUUCCCAAAUUCAAAAUUCAUCCUUUGAAGUUUCCAUCUAAUUCAUCCUUUGUGUCCGUAGUGGGUGAGCAGCUGGAGAACUCUUGAUAUCCAUGAUACAGCCAAAAGAAGUUCCCGACUUUCUUAACAUUCUGGCAAUAGUCACAUUGAAAGCAGACGGUUUGAAAUGAUAUUCCUUUGGAUCGAGAAAUGUCGUAAGGCCCGUUCGAAACUACAAGGGCAUAUAUUGAGUCACGCUUUCUUCUCAUAGAAUCUCAAAGGAUCAAAUGCCAAAUGUCAUGCCCUAUUUAUAGGGAGGCUCGCCAAGCUUUAGGGUUAUAGAGAAUUCUACCAACUUGCCUAAAUAUCUAGAUAUUUACAUGUACUAGAAAUGUGUAGAGAAUUCUACAUAUGUACAAGCUUGAAUUGUGCUAGAUUUAGCUAGAAAGCCUUGAGUGCGUCCGUCUUCACGACUGCGGGAUGGCUCCGGUGGAACAUACACACCAACAACACCCUCUUCUGCUGGGUUUGGAGGGUUGGCCAUUGCAGUGCGCAAACGGACUGGCCGUUUAUUUUCGCACUCAUGUACAUGAGCCCCUUCUUGGUGAAUGCGGGCCGUUGGCGAUUGAGUGCGCCAAGACGUUGGAGAGAACCCAUGUUAGCUCGUCUCUACGUUGUCCGUCAUGAUCGUGAAGUGUGAGCCAAGUAAGUAAUGUCGCCAAAUUCACAAGCAAUGGAUGAUGGCUGGCAAAAAUCAAACCACUCUAUGCACAGUGCCUGCAGCAUGUUUAUCAACAAUAAAGUAAGCGAAAACAGAGAUCUAAGGAGCAGCAUUUAGUAGCAGCUAAUAAUCACUUAACCAUACCAUAAAAGUAAAUCAACACCAAAAAGUUCCAAGAACAAUCCUCCAUCGCCGCAAGAAAAGCCUAGAUAAUUGCAAUUCAUUAUUCACAGAGACAUGCAUAGAUGAGUGAAACAAGAAAAAAGACUAGACAACCGGUGAGCAAAUGCUUAUCCCAAACAUAUAAAAAAUAAUGAAUUACUGCAAGAGAAGUUAAGAAACUAUUAUUCUUAUUCAGUAAUGGUACAGGAUGCAUAGAUGAGUGAAACAAGGAAAAAGACUAGACAACCUAUAAUAAAUUACUGCAAGAGAAAUUUAGAAACUAUAAUUGUUAUUCAGCAAUGGCAUAGGAUACAUAGAUGACUAAAACAAGGAAAAAGACUAGACAACCUGUGAGCCCAAACAUUCCAAAAACCUCCAAAAACAAGUCAUCAACAUCAGCACUCUGUUCACAUGGUCGGAAUAACCAACAAUGACGGAGCACCAGAAUCAGUGCAACCACAGAAUGCAGGAGGAGUUGACGGGUCUAACUCAACUAAGCAGAAAAUAAUAAAUUAGCAGUAGAAGCUCAACAGCAUAGCAUUCCAUAAUUUUACCACAUGGAAAAUGCUAAUUGCAUAUACGAUAACAUAUCCCUUCACUGCAUAAUUUCAGCAAACUUAUAAAUUUGAGACCACCCCAGACAGACAAAAGAACAAAGUUACAAGCUUAAAAAACUGGAAAACAAGAAUCUGAGAAACAAGGCAACCACUUAUCGAAUUGGGAAAGAAGCAAACCAGGCGGUAAUCCUCACAGAAGUCAAGACUCUUUCUGUACCACAAGUUCGCAAAAUGAAAAGAUCAGACUAAGAUUGAGCCUAAAAGGUAUUGACAGAAGCAAGAAACUUAAGCAUGCUCAGGGGUUUUUUGAUGAGCUUUUGGGGUUUUUUGAUGAGCUUUUGUCCUUUAACCAUUUUUCAGAUAUUCCACAAAUCAAAAAUGAAAGAAACAAGCCAACCACUCAUCGAAUUGGGAAAGAAGCAAACCAGGCGGUAAUCCUCACAGAAGUCAAGACUCUUUUUCUGCAGUACAAGUUUGCAAAAUGAAAAGAUCAGACUAAGAUUGAGCCUAAAAGGUAUUGAAUAAAGGACAAAAGCUCAUCAAAGACCCCCUGACCGUGCAUAUUUCAGAUAUUCCACAAUAUUCCACAAAUCAUAAAUGAAAGACCAAGUUACCAAAUGUAUUUCGUGCAUUCAGCCAACGAAAGUAAUAAACUGGGUAAAGAACAAAAAUGGGUUUAGUAGCACAGUCACAAUAGUCCACAAAAACAUAGAAAUGCUGUCCCCACAGCAUAGCUUUCGGAGUAGAAAAGCAAAUUAGAAUUUGAACUUUUAGGACACAUGGGCACAAGUAGGAGCAAGAAAUAAUAAAAAAGAACUAAAAAGCUCAAUAUACACUAGAGUAACAUGUUCCAAAAAUCCUUUCAAAACACAGGAACAUCUCUAAAUCUGCGGCACUAAAAAUGGGAGAGAAAGAAAUGGACUAGCAUACUAUCUGAACUUUAAGUGCUUGGGUAGCAUAGGUAGAAAUGAGAAGUCAGUUAAGAGAUGAAAACACGCAAAUCCCUCAAAAUAAAUAGCCUUCACAUUCCUCAAAAAUUUGAAACACACUGCCACCACUGCAACAAAAUUUGGCAAAACAAAUAACAAAAUUAGAAACACGCUGCCAUCACUGCAACCAAAUUUGCAACAAAAUUAGAGACCCCCUGUUCAGCAGAGUCCCAGUUGUUACACAAAAGCAAGAAACCUCUCACUAUCACUGCAACAUAAAUUUGCACAAAUGAUUAACAAAUUACAAGUUGAUUUUAUGUGUCUAGACAGGUGGAAAGAGAAGUAAUAAACUAGAAUAUUAAAAAAAAAAAAAAGACUAACCAAAUUACAAGUUGAUUUUACGUGCCUAGACAGCCACAAAGAGGAGUAAUAAACUAGAAAGAAGAAUAGAAAAAAUGCAAUUAAAUGCCCGAGUGGUAGAAUGGUUGACACUCCUCAAAAACUAAGAAUAUUUCUCAAACACAGCAACAAAAAAUUGCAAAAUAUGAAAAGACCAAACAUACACAAAUUUCUAAAAAAACUCACCAGAAGCCAAGUAGCAAACUCCCAAUACUCCUCAAGAACUAGGAUCGUUUCUCUACAGCAGUAUAAAACUUUACAACAGGGACACGACCAACAUUCACACUGCUCUUGAAGGAUCAUUCCUCUACAGCAGUAUAAAACUUCACAAUAGGGAAAUGAUCAACAUAGACAGGUCUUGAAGGAUCAUUUCUCUACAGCAUUAAAAAAUUCACAACAGGGACAUGAUAUAGUGCUCUUGAAUUGUCGCACAGAUCAUACGCUGCUGUACCGUACAUCCGCCUUGGCCGUACAGCAGAUAACUAGAAGUAUAAAAAAUCUUGCCAAAAUAUUUACUGAACCCACGAAUGUAACUUGCUUUCUCAUAACUCAGCAACAAAGACACCACCACCAAAUCUCGCAUCCAUAAUAAGAUACAAAACCAAAGCAAAAAUGAAACAUUUCUUCUUCAUGGACGACAUUGCCAUUUCCACUCUUAUUAUUUCUCUUAAACUACUUUUCUUUUCCUGUUCCUUAAAAUGCAGAGACAAGUAAGAAUUCCAAUUCCAGGCAGGCGAUGAUGCAAGUUCCAAGCACUCACAAAGGGCUUUCGUGGAUAAGUUUCUCAAUCAAAAUCAAAUUAAAUCAAAAUCAAAUUAUUGGUGAGUGAAUUUUAUUUUAUAUAUUACCUCUCCUGCCUAAAUAAGAUUCUUGUGCCUCAGCAUUAAGUCCGCUGCCAAAUCCGACCCGGAGCUUGAACUUUACUUUGUUGGUACUAAACUCGCACUUGAUGGACAGUUUGAGAGCGAAGCGGACAGAUCUAUGACUUCAAAAGCCUUAUCCUAACGCGCCACAGGGCAAUCUCCCAGAAUUACUGAGAGAAUACCAAAACUUCCCCUAAAACUGCAGCACAAAAUAUGUAAGAAUAAAAAGCUGUAAAAAAUAGCAGUUCAAAUAUUCAAAUAGGUGCAGAUAAAAAAUACAAGAAAUAAUGUAGCGCGGUCCCAAUACUCAAAAACAUUUUGCCAUCACUGCUCCAGAGAUGUGCAAGAAAAUGAAAGACAUUAAACUAAAUUUCAAGGAUUCAGUAAUGAAAGGGAAACAAAAGCAUGUUGGAAAACCCCCUUAAAAAAAAAAAAUUAGUCCCACACUCCUCCAUAACUCUGACCUUAUCUAUCAUUGCAUGAUAAAAAUUCUAACAAGGACACAAACAAAAUACUAUGAAAGCUUGGGUUAAAAACUGACUAUAGACACUCCCUGAGUUGCACAAGUCCGUAUAUUGAACUAUUCAAAACAUCUCCUCUCACACUGCAAUAAAAGUUUGCAAAAAUGAAAGAGAGCUUAAGCGUUCUUCCUUAUAAGAAUUACUCAAAACAUCUCUUCACAAAAGCCAAAAAAGUUUGCAAAAAUGAAAGAGAGCUUAACCAUUCAAAUAAGACAAAAUAUUACUCACAAACAGUCUUAAGCAUUCAAAUAAGACAAAAUAUUACUCACAUACAGUCUGCUCUAAAGCAUUCAUAGAUAGAAGAAAAAAACUAAAGAGAGGUUUUGGGGCGGGGGGAGCUCAUUACAGAGACCCCACGUAGCAAAGUCCAGAUACUCCACAUAAACUACGAACUUUCCAACAUCACUGCAACAAAAAUUUGCAGAAAUGAAAAACCAAAACAUAACCUCAACAUUAUAGUAUUCACAAAGAGAGCCAAAAGCAAAGAGAGAGAAUGGAAGUGUCAAUAGAAACCCCCUGAAUAGGAAGAUGCCCCAAAAAUAUAAAAAUAAUCCUGGAACAGUUUGCUCUCAUUCGAACAUGCAAAAGUGAAAAACCAAAUCACAAACGUUAUAUAUUUAGACUCAACCCAACGCAGAAACAAUAAAUUAGGGAAAAGAAUAAGGAACUUAUCAGACACCCCCCAGAGUAGCAUAGUCACAGUAUUCCACAAAAACUAAGCUUUUCCAAAUCACUGUAACAUAAAUUGCAAAAGUGGCAGGAUAUUAUAAUGGAACAUAAGUAAUCAGUCAGCUAGACAUAAAAAAAAAAUAAUAACAAUAAUAAAGUGUAGCACUAAAAAUACUCAUGAGCAGCCCCCAUAGCAAUGUCCAGAAUUACUCAGAAAACACGAAAACUUUGCUAAAGCUGCAGCACAAAAUAUGCAAAAAUAAAAAGCUGAAAAAAAAAAUAAAAGCUUAAAUAUUAAAAUAGGUGCAGAUAGAAGGGAGAUAACAGGAGAAAGAAUGUAAGUCAUCACAACACGGUGAGUAACACUGUUAGUUGGCCCCAAUACUCGAUCAUGUUUUGCCACCACUGCUCCAGAGAUUUGCAAAAAAUGAAAGGCAUAAUUAUAAACUGAAUGUUAAGGAUUCAGUUAAGCAGAUGUAGUAGACACAAACUACGAAAGGGACUAGCAUCAAAAACCCCCUAAAUAAAAUAGUCCCACACUCCCGAGAGCUCUUUCUCUAACACUGCAUUUUAAAGAUGUUAAAAAAUGACACAAUUACAAGGGAAAUACUAAGAAGAAUUCUGGUGAAAAAUUCACUAUCGACACUCCCUGAGAUGCACAAGUCCUAAUGUUCAACAACUCAAAACAUCUCCUCACCCUGCAACAAAAACUUGUAGAAACGAAAAGAGCUUAAGCAUUUAGGUAGACAAAAUAUUACUAACAUACAAAAAGAAUUAAGCAUUCAGGUAAACAACAUAUUACUAUUACUAACAUACAAAAAGAAUUCAAAGAUAAAAGGGAAAAACUAAAGAGAGGUUGGGGAGUAAAAGGAGCAUUACAGAGACCCCAAAUAGCAGUGUCCAGACACCCCACAUAAACCAUGAACAUUCCAACAUCACUGCAACAAAAAUUUUGAAAAAUGAAACAUAACUGCAACUUUAUAGUAUCCAGAUACAAAGCUGAAAACAAAGAGAAAGAAUGGAAGUGUCAAUAGAAACACCCUUAGAAGAAGACGCCCCAAAAAUAUCAAAAUAAACCUGGAACAGUCUGCUAUCACUCAAACAUGCAAAAAUGAAAAAAAUCACAUUAUAUACCAUAUAUAUUUAGACAAAACCUGACACAGAAACAAUAAAUUAGGGACAAGAAUAAGGAACUUAUCAGACACCCGAGAGUAGCAUUGUCCUAGUAUUCCACAAAAGCUUAGAAAUUCACUGUAACAUAAAAUUGCAAAAGUGGCAGGAUAUUGUAAUGAAACGUAAACAAUCAGAUGGCCAGAAAUUAACAAGGAGUACGACUAAAAAUACUCAUGAGCAACCCGUAUAGCAAUGUCCCAGAAUUUAGAAGACACCAAGACUUCCUCUAAAACUGCAGCCCAAAAAAUAUGCAAAAAUAAACAGCUGAAAUAAAAGAAAAACUUAGAUAUUUAAACAGGUGCACAUGGGAGGAGGUAAUAGAAGAAAGAAUGUAAAUCAUCAAAACCUCCGGCGUAGCACGGUUAGCUAGCCCCAAUACUUGAUAACAUUUUGACAUCAUUGCUCCAGAGAUUUGCAAAAAAUAGAAGACAUAAUUAUAAACUCAGUUUUAAGGAUUCAGUUAUGUAGAUGUAGUAGAAAUGAACUAAGAAAGGGAAAGGAGAGCACCCUAGAAAACCCCCCUGAAUAAAUUAGUCCCACACUUCUCCAGAGAGCUGACCUUCUCUACCACUGCAUUAUAAAAAUUUUAAAAAUGACACAACUACAAGGGAAACACUAUGAAAAGCUCAGGUUAAAAACUCACUGUAGACACUCCCUGGCACAAGUCCUAAUACUGAACAACUCAAAACAUCUCCUCGCACUGCAACAAAAGUUUGCAAAAAUGAAAGAAGCUUAAGCAUUCAGAUAAGACAAAAUAUUACUAACAUACUGAAAGCAUUCAUAGACAGAAUAGGAAAACUAAAGAGAGGUUUUGUUUUGGGGAAGGGGGGACCAAUUACAGAGAUGCCAAACAGCGAAGUCCAGAUACUCCAUACAAACUAAUGAACAUUCCAGCACCACUGCAACAAAAAUUUGUGAAAAUGAAAAACCAAAACAUAAACUCAACUUUUUGUAUUCAGACAGAGAGCCAACAACAAAGAGAAAUAGAAACCUCCUGAGUAGAAGAAGCCCCAAAAAAUAUCAAAAUAAACUAGGAACAGUUUGCAAUCACUCAAAUCAUGCGAACAUGAAAAAAACCUUGUAUAUUUAGACACAACCUGACACAAAAACAACAAAUUAGGGAAAAGAAUGAGGAGCUCACUAGACACCCCAGAGUAGCAUAGUCCCAGUAUUCAGAUAACACAAAACAUUACCAACAUACACAGAGCAUUCAUAGACAGAAGAGAAAAACUACAGAGGUGUUGCAGGGGGCAAAAACGCAUUUACAGAGACCCAAAUAGCAAAAUCCGCAUACUCCACAUAACUCAUUAGAGAGACCCCAAAUAGCAAAGUCCGGAUAUUCCACAUCUACGAACGUUCCAACAUCACUGCAACAAAAAUUUGCAAAAAAGAAAAACCAAAACAUAACCUCAACUUUAUAGUAUUAAGAUAAAAAGCCAAAAACAAAAAGAAAGAAUGGAAGUGACAAUAGAAACCCCCGAGUAGAAGACGCCCCAAAAAAAUCAAAAUGGAUUCGGAACAUUUUGCUGUCAUGAAAAAACCAAAUUAUAAACCUUAUAUAUUUAGACACAUCCUGACACAGAAACAAUAAAUUAGGGAAAAGAAUAAGGAACUUAUCAGACACCCCCGGGGUAGCAUAAUACCAGUAUUCCACAAAAUCUUGGCCCAAGUAGCAUAGUCCCAGCAUUCCACAAAAACUAGGAAAUUCUCCAAAUCACUGCAACAUAAAUUUGCAAAAGUAGCAGGACAUUGUAAUGAAACGUAAGUGAUCAAACAGUUGGAAAUAAAAGAAAUUAACAAGGAGUAGGACUAAAAAUACUUGUGAGCAACCCCCAUAGCAAUGUUCUAGAAUUAUCAGAAGGAAGGAAAUAAGAGAGAGAAUGCAAGUCAUCACCACCCCGUGUGUGGCACAGUUAGCUAGCCCCAAUAAUCGAUAACAUUAUGCCAUCACUGCUCCAGAGAUUUACAAAAAAUAGAAGAUAAAAUCAUAAACGAAGAAUUCAGUCAUGUAGAUGUAGUGGAAAUAAACUAAGAAAGGGAAAGCAGAGCACGAUAGAAAACCCCCUGAAUUAAAUAGUCCCACACUCCUCGAGAGAGCUGACCUUCUCUAACACUGCAUUAUAAAAAUUUUAAAAAUGACAAAACUACAAGGGAAAUACAAUUGACACUCCCUGAGCUGCACAAGUCCUAACAUUGAACAACUCAAAGCAUCUCCUCACACUGCAACAAAAGUUUGCACAAAUGAAAGAGAGCUUAAGCAUUCAUAUAAGACAAAAUAUUACUAACAUACAGAAACAUUCAGAGAUAGAAGGGAAAAACUAAAGAGAGGGCCCUCAAACCCGGGAGAGGUCUUUUUAGAUUUAUCUAAAUCCUCACUUCACCUACACCACUACUUGAGAAGAAAGACACUGCCUCACUCAGAAAAAAAAGAAAGCAAGAGAUAUUCAAAUAGAAUAGCGAGAGUUAACGUUCUUCCUUCUGCUGUACGGCCAAGGCGGAUGUACGGUACAGCAGGAGACCCCAAAUAGCAAAGUCCGGAUACUCCAUAUAAACUACUAGCUUUCCAACAUCACUGCAACAAAAAUUUGCAGAAAUGAAAAACCAAAACAUAACCUCAACAUUAUAGUAUUCAGAUAGAAAGCCAAAAACAAGAGAGAGAAUGGAAGUGUCAAUAGAAACCCCCCCGAAUAGGAGAUGCUCCAAAAAUAAAAAAACAAUCCCGGAACGGUUUGCUCUCAUUCGAACAUGCAAAAGUGAAAAACCAAGUUACAAAUGUUAUAUUUAGACACAACCUGAUGCAGAAACAAUAAAUUAGGAAAAAGAGUAAGGAACAUAUCAGACACCCCACGGUAACACAGUCCUGGUACUCCACAAAAACUUAGAAAUUCUCAAAUCACUGCAACAUAAAUUUGCAAAAGUGGCAGGAUAUUGCAAUGAAACGUAAGUAAUCAGAUAGCCAGAAAUAAAAGAAAUUAACAAUAAGUAGGACUAAAAAUAGUCAUGAGCAACCCACAUAGCAAUGUCCCAAAGUACUCAAAAGACACCUAAACUUCCUCUAAAACUGCAGCACAAAAUAUACAAAAAUAAACAGUUGAAAUAAAAUAAAAACUUAAAUAUUUAAACAGGUGCACAUAGAAGGGUGGUAAUAGGAAACAGAAUGUAAGUGAUCAAAGCCCGGUGUGUAGCGCGCUUAACCACCCCACAUACUCGAUAAUAUUUUGCCAUCACUAAGCUCCACAGAUUUGAAAAAAAUAGAUGACAUAAUUAUAAACUGAAUUUUGAGGAUUCAGUUAUGUAGAUGUAGUAGAAAUGAAAUAAGAAAGGGAAAAAAGAGCACGCUAGAAGACCCCCUGAAUAAAAUAGUCCCACACUCCCCUAGAGUGCUCACCUUCUCUAACACUGCAUUAUAAAAAUUUUUAAAAUGACAACUACAACGCAAUUUCUAUGAAAAGCUUGGGUUAAAAACUCACUAUAGACACUCCCUGAGUUGCACAAAUCCUAAUAUUUGUUGCACAGUCUCCUCGCUGCAACAAAAGUUUGCAAAAAUGCAAGAGACCUUAGGCAAUCAGAUAAGACAAAUAUUAACUAACAUACUGAAAGCAUUCAUAGAUAGAAUAGAAAACCAAAGAGAGGUUGGUGAAAACUCAUUACAGAGACCCCAAAUUGCAAAGUCCACAUAUUCCACAUAUCUACCAACGUUCCAACAUCACUGCAACAAAAAUUUGCAAAAAUGAAAAACCAAAAUAUAACCUCAACUCUAUAGUAUCCAGAUAAAGUAAAAAACAAAGAGAAUAAAUGGAAGUGUCAAUAGAAACCCCGAGUAAAAGACGCCCCAAAAAUAUCAAAAUAAAUUCGGAACAUUUUGCUAUCACUCGAAACAUGCAAACAUGAAAAAAUCAAAUUAUAAACCUUAUAUCAGACACAACCUGACACAGAAACAAUAAAUUAGGGAAAAGAAUAAGGAACAUAUCAGACACGCCAGUACUCCACCAAAACAUAGCCCCAGAGUAGCAUAGUCCUAGCAUUCCACAAAAGCAUAGAAAUUCUCCAAUCGCUGCAACAUAAAGUUUCAAAAGUAGGGGACAUUGUAAUGAAACAUUAGCGAUCAGACAGCUAGAAAUAAAAGUAAUUAACAAGGAGUAGGACCGAAAAUACUCAUGAGCAACCUGCAUUGCAAUGUCCAAGAAUUAUCUGAAAGGAGGUACUAAGAGAAAGAAUGCAAGUCAAAAUAUUACUAACAUACGAAAAGAAUUCAAAGAUAGAAGGGAAAAACUAAAGAGACGUUGGGGGAGAAAAAAAAGCAUUACAGAGACCCAAAGUAACGAAGUCCGGAUACUCCACAUAAACUAUGAACAUUCCAACAUCACUGCAACAAAAAUUAGCAAAAAUAAAAAACCAAAACAUAACCUCAACUUUAUAGCAUUCAGAUAGAAAGCCAAAAACAGGGAGAAAGAAUGGAAGUGUCAAUAGAAACACCCGGAGUAGAAGAUGCCCCAAAAAUAUCAAAAUAAACCUGGAACAGUUUGCUAUCACUCGAACAUGCAAAAAUGAAAUAACCAAAACAAAACCUGGCACAGAGAAUAAAUUAGGGAAAAGAAAAAGGAACUUAUCAGACACCCCAGAGUAGCAUAGUCCUAGUAUUCCACAAAAACUUAGAAAUUCUCCAAAUCACUGUAACAUGUUACAGAAGUGGCCGGACAUUGAAAUGAAACGUAAGUAAUCAGACAGACAGAAAUAAAAGAAAUUAACGAGUAGAACUAAAAAUACUCAUGUGCAACCCGCAUAGCAAUGUCCCAGAAUUACUUAGAAGACACCGAAACUUCCUCUAAAACUGCAGCACAAAAUAUGCAAAAAUGAACGGCUGAAAUAAAAUAAGAACUUAAAUAUUCAAAUAGGUGCACAUAGAAGGAAGGUAAUAGGAGAAAGAAUGUAAGUCAUCACAACCCCAUGUGCAGCGCGGUAAGCUAGCCCCCAUACCCGAUAAUAUUUUGCCAUCACUGAGCUCCACAAAUUUGAGAAAAAUAGAAGACACAAUUAUAAACUGAAUUUUAAGGAUUCAUUUAUGUAGAUGUAGUAGAAAUGAAAUAAGAAAGGGAAAGGAGAGCACGCAAGAAAAACCCCCUUAAUAAAAUAGGUCCACAUUCCUCCAGAGAGCUGACCAGCACGCUAGAAAAACCCCCUGAAUAAAAUAGGUCCACAUUCCUACAGAGAGCUGACCUUCUCUAGUUCCAGAAAAAUAGAGGACAUAAUUAUAAACUAAUUUUAAGGAUUCAUUUAUGUAGAUGUAGUAGAAAUGAAAUAACAAAGGGAAAGUAGAGCACACUAAAACCCCCAGAAUAAAAUGGUUCCAGACUCCUCCAGAGAGCUGACCUUAUCUACACCGCAAUAUAAAAAUUUUUAAAAUGACACGGGAAUUUCCAUGAAAAGCUCAGGUUAAAACUCACUAUUGAGUUGCACAAGUCCUAAUAUUGACAACUCAAAACAGCUCCUCACACUGCAACAAAAGUUUGCAAAAAUGAAAGAGACCUUAAGCAUUCAGAUAAGACAAAAUAUUACUGACAGACAGAAAGCGUUCAUACAUAGAACAGAAAAACUAAAGAGAGGUUUUGGGGGGAAGGUGGGGAAUCAUUACAGAGAACCCAAAUAGCAAAGUCUGGAUACUCCACCUAAACUACGAACAUUCCAACGUCACUGCAACAAAAAUUUACAAAAAGGAAAAACCAAAACAUAACCUCAACUUUAUAGUAUUAAGAUAGAAAGCCGAAAACAAAGAGAAAGAAUGUAAGUGUCAAUAGAAACCCCCGGAGUAGAAGACACCCCAAAAAUAUCAAAAUGAAUUCGGAACAUUUUGCUGUCAUGAAAAAACCAAAUUAGAAACCUCAUAUAUUUAGACACAACCUGACACACAAAAAAUAAAUUAGGGAAAAGAAUAAGGAACUUAUCAGACACCACCAGGGUAGCACAGUCCCAGUAUUCCACUAAAACUUAGAAAUUCUCCAAAUCACUGUAACAUAAAUUUGCAACAGAGGCAGAACACUGUAAUGAAAUGUAAGUAAUCAGACAGUAAUCAGACAGCUAGAAAUAAAAGAACUAACAAGGAGUAGGAUACUCAUGAACAACCCGCAUAGCAAUGUCCUAGAAUUACUCAGAACACACCCAACACUUUCACUAAAACUGGUAGCACAAAAUAUGCAAAAAUAAAAAGCUGAAAAAAAUGAAAACUUAAAUAUUCAAGCAGCAAGAAAAAGAAUGCAAGUCAUCAAAACCCCAUGAGUAGCGCUGUUAGUUAGCCCCAAUACUCGAAAACGUUUUGCCAUCGCUGUGCCAGAGAUUAAAAAAAAAAUGAAAGACAUAAUUAUAAACUGGAUUUCAAGGAUUCAGUUAAGCAGAUGCUGUAGAAAUAAACUAAGACAAAGGAUAGCAUGCUAGAAAACCCUCUAAAUAAAGUAGUCCACUCCUCGGGAGCUUUGACCUUCUCUAACACUGCAUUAAAAAUUUUAAAAUUGACAAAAUUACAAGGGAAAUACCAAGAAAAGCUCCCCACAUUAGCCUAAUAUUCAAUGACUCAUCUUACACUGCAACAAAAAUUUGUGGAAAUACAAAAAUUUGUAGAAAUGAAAGACAGCUUAAGCAUUCAGUCAGAUAAAAUAUUAGUAACAUACAGACUGGUCUAAAGCAUUCAUAGAUAGAAGAGAUAAACUAAAGAGAGGUAAGGGGGAAAAACACAUUACAGAGGCCCCAAAUAGCAGAGUCCGGAUACUCCACAAAAACUACGAACAUUCCAACAUCACUGCAACAAAAAUUUGCAAAAUUGAAAAACCAAAACACAACCUCAGCUUCAUUUCGGAGGGACAUAGAUGGAAGCCGAAAACAAAGAAAAAGAAUGGAAGUGUCCUCAGGAAGCCCCAGUAAAGAAUGCCACAAAAGUACCACAUAAACUCGGAACAUGUUGCUAUCACUCAAACAUGCGAAAAUGAAAACCAAAUUACAAACCUUAUAUAUUUAGACACAACCUGACACAAACAAUAAAUUAGGGAAAUGAAAACAUAUCAAAUACCACAGAGUAGAAUAGUCCCACUAUUCCGCAAGAACGUAGAAAUUCUCCAAAUCACUGCAACAUAAAUUUGCAAAAGUGGCAGGACAUUGUAAUGGAACUUAAAUAAUCAAGCAGCUAGAAAUAAAGAAUACUCAUAAGUAAUGUCCUAUAAGUCAUCAAAACCUUGUAUGUAAUGCGGAUAGCUAGCCUGAAUACUUGAUAACAUUUUGCCAUCACUGACUGCUGCACAGAUUUGGUAAAAAUGGAAGACAUAAUUAUAAACUGAAUUUUAAGGAUUCAUUUAAGUAGAUGUAGUAAAAAUAAACUAAGGAAGGAAAAAGGAAAGCAAGCUAGAAAACCUCCCCCAAAAAUAAAAUAGUCCCACACUCCUUGAGAGCUCCGACCUUCUCUCUAACACUGCAUUACUAAAAUUGACACAAGGGAAAUAAUAUGAAAAGCUCAGGUGAAAAACUCACUGUAGACACUCCCUGAGUUGCACAAGUCCUAAUAUUGAACAACUCAAAACAUCUGCCCACACAGCACCAAAAAGUUUUUUGUUGCAAAAAUGAAAGAGCCUAAGCAUUCAGAUAAACAAAAUAUUACUAACAUACCAGUCUGCGCUAAAGCAUCCACAGGGGGGGGGGGGGGGGAGUUGGGGGACUGAUUACAGAGACCCCAAAUAGCAGAGUCCACAUACAUUAACAGUAUUCAGAUUAAAAGCCAAAAACAAAAAGAGAGAAAGGAAGUGUCAAUAGAAACCCCGAGUAGAGGAUACCCCAAAACACCACAUAAACUUGGAACAUUUUGCUGUCAAAACCAAAUUAUAAACUUUAAAUAACACAACCUAACACAAAAACAAUAAUUUAGGGAGAAGAAUAAGGAACUUAUUAGACACCCAGACUAGUAGUAUCCCAGUAUUCCGCAAAAACAUUGACAAUCUCCAAAUCACUGCAACAUAAAUCUGCAAAAGUUGCAGGACAUUGUAAUGAAACGAAAGUAAUUCGACAGCAAGAAAUAAAAGAAUUAACAAAAAGCAGCAUGAAAAUACUCAUGAGCGACCUGCAUAGCAAUGUCCAGAACUACUGAGAAAACACCAAAACUUCCUCCAAGACUACAGCACAAAAUAUGCAGAAAUAAAAAGCUGAAAUAAAAUAAAAACUUAAAUAUUCAAAUAGAUGCAGAAGAAAAGAGGUAAUAGGAGAAAGAAUGUUAGUAAUCAAAACCCCGUGAGAAGCGCAGUUAGUGAGCCCCAAUACUCGAUAAUAGAUGUAGUAGAAAUAAUUAUAAACUGAAUUUUAAGGAUUCAAUCAAGCAAAUGUAGUAGAAAUAAACAAAGAAAGGGAAAGGAGAGCACGCCCCCCAAUCAAAACAGUCCCACACUCCUUGAGAGCUCUGACAUUCCCUAACACUGCAUUAUAAAAAAUUUUAAAAUUACACAAUUACAAGGAAAACACUAUGAAAAGUUCGGGUAAAACUGCGACAGAAGUUUACAAAAAUGAAAGAGAGCUCAAGCAUUCAGAUAGUCAAAGAAGCCAGAAACAAAAAUAAAAAUAAAAAUGGAAGAAUAAUCAGAGAACCCAACUCGUGAAUAAGCCCUGAUUUUUCUCAAAAAACCUAGAAGAUUUUACCAUCACUCCAACAUAAAUUUGAACAAUCAGAAGACCAAAUUAGAAAUUGAACUAUGUAUUUAGACAGCAUAAGCAUAAAUAAUAAACUUGAAACAACAAAAAACUGUAAAGACACUCCCGUGCGGCAUAGUCCCAGUACACCUCACAAGCAGAAAUGACAUCACUGCAACAAAACUUUGCAAGUGAAGGCCAAUUUUAAUUUGGGAAUUUAGAUUGGUAAAAAUAGAAGAAAAAGAAUAGGACAAAAGACUAGAGCAACCUCAUUAGAAAAAAGAGGGUAGAAAAGAAAGAAAUACAACUUCUUUAAUAAGCACAGAUAUAAGCAAGAAACUAAGAGACAAACACUCAUCAGACAGCCCCAAAUAUUGAGUAUGGAUAGCCACAAUAUUCCUCAAAAAUUCACGCCAUAUUGCCAUCACUGCAACAAAAUUUGAAAAAAUGAAAGAAAAGAUUAUAUCUUGAAUUCACUCAAGACAUCUAGGGUAAAACGGACCACUAACCUUUCACAGCAACAAAGAAUUAAAGAAGUCAAAACUGCUAACAGAUCUUAAACAUAGUAGACCCCUCAUCUUUCACUGCAACAAAGAAUUAAAGAAGUAAAAAAAUACAACCGAUCUUAGGCAUAUUCACAAAGGAAAUGAAAACAAAGAGAAGAUCGAAAAACUCAUAACAACCCCACCCAAGUGGCAAAGUCCCAAUAUUCCUCAUAAACACCAAUUAAUUCACAUCAAAGCAACAAAAUUUAUAAACUGAGAGGUAUAACGGGAUAAAUAAAAGCCAAUAGUUUAAUCACUCCCUGAAUAGGCAGCCCAAUAUUCCUUAUAAACUUGGAACGUUUGAAUCUCAACAUCAAUGCAACCUAAAUGGCAAGAAACAAACAUGAAAAUGCAAAUUGAACUCAUGCACUUUUAGAAAACCAGACUCAAGAGCAGCAAACAGUGAGGAAGAAUCCAAAAUCUCAUUCACCACCCCUGCCCUGCACAUAGAGCAGAUUAUAAUUUGUAAAUUUGUAGUUUCGGUAUUCAGGUAAGCAGAAAUAGAAGCAAUGAUAAACAACAAAAAGAACUGACAUACUCAAUAGACGCCUGCUGAGUAGCAGAGAAUUCCUAAAAAACUCCAUACGCCUCUCUGAAGAUGCAUCACAAAAAUUUGCAAAUAAAAGACUAAAUUACAAUCUGAAUUUAACAUUGCUUGGUGAGCAUAUAGACAGAAGGGAAAAACUGGCAGAAAGAAUUGGAGAGAUCAGACAACCACUGCAUAGUGUAUAGUCUGCCGCAAUCAAAACUUGAAACAGUUCACCAUCACUGCCUCAGAAAUUUUGAAAAAAAAAAAGAUGUUACUAGACUUAACUUAAGGAUUCAUUUAAAAAAAAUACUGGAAAACACGCUAGAAAACCCGCUGAGGUAAAAUUGUCCAAAUACCCUACAAACAUUUGGAACAUUUUACCUACCGCUGCAAUGAAAAAUUGCAGAUUAUAAGACCAAAAUACAGCCAGAUCUUAAGGAUUCAAAUGUGGAAUUAAUAAACUAAGAAAAGAUCUAAUAGCUCGCUUGAUUUGCAGAUUCCAAUGCUCCUCAAAUACUUGGGACUAUUUCUCUAACACUGCAACAUAAAAAGUAACAAAAAUGACAACUCAUACAAGCUAUUAAGUAUUAACAGAAGUGAUCAACUAAGAAAAGGUUGGAAACCCCCAUUAUAAACACCCCAAGUAGCUGGGUCCCUAUGCUCCAAAACACGGCAUUUCUCUUACCACUGCAACAUAAAAUUUGCAAAAUCAUGCAAAUAAAUUACAAUAAACUCUUUUAAGUAUUGAUAAAGUUGAUAAACUCAAAAAUGACAUAAAUAAAAUAGAACUCGUUAUAGUCACCGCAGGCAGCAUCCCAACAUCCCAUAACAAUUGGGAACAAUUCUGCCUCACCGCAACAAAAAAUUUACACAACACUACCGUACCAUGAUUUAACUGAACCAACAAAAUUGCAGGUUUCUCAGAGAAUCCAAAAUAUUGAUGAACAUAUCAAAUACUUGGUUAAUAGAUAAACAUGAAGCAAAAGAAACACAAAAAUAUUAAAUCACGCCCUCUUGUUUACUGCUUUGGUAAAUCAUCUUCCUGUUGAAUGUUCAUCGGUGCCCUCUACAAGAUUGAUAUUUUCACAAGUUAUGGGAUGACUAACGUGGCACUACCUAAGACAAAUGGCAAGUUUGUACAAAGCAAUAUAUCUCACUUCGACAAAACCAAGAACUUGAGAUGAAACAAAUGCAGUCCAAGGAAUUGAUUAUUAUAUAUCAUUAAACAAAAAUGUUUACCCAAUCGCAAUCCAACAAACUCAUAGACAAUAAAUUUUCUUUAACCUCUGCGUCCAACAACAAACAUAAACACCAUUACAAAAAUCUGAUACAAAAAUAUAAAUACCAUUACAAAAGUGUGAUACAAAAAUAUAACAACAAUAAACAAUAAUUAACAAAAGGGACAAGCGCACGACCAUUCAUCCUGUAAGCCACAUGACUUGCCAAACUAGUCUUCAAGUGCCCAUAUUUCAAGACUGAAGAUGAGACAAUUGUUGAAUAAAGGAGUUACAAGAAAGAUCUGGAACAUGAGAUGUGUCCACAACAACAGAAACCAAAAGUAUACCACAAUUGCUCAAAAAAGAUGUCACAAGAAGUUCAAGACAUUGACAUGCAUCCACUCAAUUGUUGAAUAGAAGUCAAAAAAAUUCAAUACUGAAACAGAUUGCCAUGUCCACAGCAACAGAAACUGAAAAGUUGAGAAGCAGCAUCCAUCUACCAUUCUCUGCAAUCAAAUUGAAACAGAAACUGGGUAGAAGGACUAAAACCACAGGAGAGGGAAGCCCGCCGAAAAAAAAAAAAAGGGAGAAGGGGAAAACAAGUCCUGGAGAAAUAGCAGUUCCAAUAUUUGCCCGUCAACCCAGGUGCACUCCCAAUAGUAUAUAACCAAGCAAACCAUGUGGAGCACAAAACUGGCUCAUUAAAGAGAUCCACCAAAGAGAAAAUAGUGGAAAAUAAAUGCACAGGAAAAGCUCGCCAGCAUUAUGUUCCUUAAACUUCGGCACUGCUUCUAAAGAUACUAAAAAGUUCAAAACUCCAAAGUGUCUGAACAUAAUAAUUAAGUGACUCCCUCAUGCCCCCUUUCUGCUUCCUCCUCUAUUGAUUCCAUGACUGCUUGAUUCCAGCAGCCUCUCAAAAGUAAUCAACAACAAAUAAAAUCAGCUUUGUGUCUCCUAAUAAUCUUUACAAUCCCAUGGGCAAUCUCAAUUGGCAGACUUCAACAAGAACUUGGCAAAAAUGAUUGACCAGACUACUAAAGGCAAAAUAUCUAAAAUAUUUACCAUUAGGAACCCCUUGAAAGCAAUAGUCAUAUACUGUUAUCAUCAUCUUAUAAUAAUGACUGUAUGUUAUUCAAAACAAUCAAUAUCUUUAUAUUAUCAGAUGAUUGGACUAUAACCCUUAGCCAUGAUUUCUAUCAAAGCGCCUCAAAAAUCCACAAUUAAGAAGUCAGAGAAAUCACCGAUCAAUACAAGAUAAUAUCACGAUCGGACCUCGGCAAAGAUUGGCACAAAUUCAGUAUUCUGUAACCAAGAAUUGAACAAGGAAUAAAACAAUUCAGCGCAAAUCAAGUAUCAUCCAAUACGAUACAUUGUCACCGAUAACUCAAAAACAAUCUUCACACUCGCAUGCAAUAAAUUAAUUACCAACAACCCUAAUAACCUGACAAUCCUCUUUAAUGAACAAAGAAGAGAUAGUUUAGCGCAAACCAAUAACACCUUCCUCCCAAACAGAACCAGAAACACCCCAAGGAGACCGAGAAAAUAAAAAAAUAUAUAUAUAUACACACACACUAGCGCUCAAAGCUACGGGACCGC